UCCAGACUCCUACGGGAGGCAGCAGUGGGGAAUAUUGGGCAAUGGGCGCAAGCCUGACCCAGCAACGCCGCGUGAAGGAAGAAGGCUUUCGGGUUGUAAACUUCUUUUAAGAGGGAAGAGUAGAAGACGGUACCUCUUGAAUAAGCCACGACUAACUACGUGCCAGCAGCCGCGGUAAUACGUAGGGGGCAAGCGUUAUCCGGAUUUACUGGGUGUAAAGGGGGCGCAGACGGCGAUGCAAGCCAGGAGUGAAAGCCCGGGGCCCAACCCCGGGACUGCUCUUGGAACUGCGUGGCUGGAGUGCAGGAGGGGCAGGCGGAAUUCCUGGUGUAGCGGUGAAAUGCGUAGAUAUCAGGAGGAACACCGGUGGCGAAGGCGGCCCGCUGGACCGCAACUGACGUUGAGGCCCGAAAGCGUGGGGAGCAAACAGGAUUAGAUACCCGUGUAGGC
rnacentral:rRNA from 1 species